CAGUGCAGAAAAUGGUUCAGAGGGUUGGAUUCUUUGGAACUCUAGUCUGCGCCUCUAUUCCCAAUCCACUGUUUGACCUGGCAGAUAAAACAUGGUUCCCUUUUGGACCUUCUUUUGGAGCAACGCUAAUUGGGAAAGCCAAAAUACACAUUCAGAAACUGUUUGUGAUCAUAACCUUCAGCAGGCACAUAGUGGAGCAGAUGGUGUCUCUGAUUGGGUAAGUAACCUAGCCAUUGAGUAAUAUUGGGCCGCCUCUGAAGAAAUGGAAAUGUGUGUGUCUGUGCGUACGUGUGUUUAUGUGUGUAUGUGUGCAGGCUUGCGUGCGUGCUUGUGUCUCUGUGUCAUGGGGGAGGCAGGGGGACAAUGAGGGGGGCAGUAUCACACAUGAAUACGUUCAUUUGGAACAUGACGGUUGAGAGAAGUUCAAGUGUGGCAUUUUGAGGUCGUUCGUGCCCCUUUUAGG